rnacentral:lncRNA from 1 species
CAAUAUGUAAAAUUGUAGAGUCCUGGAAAGUACUAGUGAGAUCAUGGAAAUUAUGGUAAUCACAAGGCAACAUGAGUUCUCACAAACAGGCUGAAUACAGCGAGACAGAUUCACUUUAUGCUUUGUGGUAAGCCUGAUAUGUGUAAACAACAAGAGGCCCCUUAGCAUGAUAUGAAUUAAUUGAUAUAUUUCCAUGGCAUCAGCAACAACUUUCAUGUGGAUGUAACAUUAUGGUUUAGAGAUUAUCAACUUUGAAGCUGAAAAAGUAAUGUGCCACUAGCAACCACAGAAAGGGCAUUCUUGUUGAGUAUUAUUUCUUUAUUUAUUUACUUACAGCAUUUAUAUUCCGCCCUUCUCACCCCGAAGGGGACUCAGGGUGGAUCACAUUACACAUAUAGGCAAACAUUCAAUGCCUUUUAACAUAGAACAAAGACAAGACAAACAUAGCUCCGAGCAGGCCUCGAACUCAUGACCUCCUGGUCAGAGUGAUUCAUUGCAGUGAUUCAUUGCAGCUGCUCUCCAGCCUGUGCCACAGCCCGAGCCCGAGUAUUACAGACUACAAAUCCAUCCACUCCAAUGAGGGUGGGCCCCAUCAUUAAGCAAAGGGAGCUGUGUGUGCCAUAAAGACUGCCCUCUAAGCCUUGGACUACAGAUGAAGGAAGGGAUAUUGUACCAGGGUCAUGUUUAAGCAAGAGUGAACUUCCAGUCCACUCAACAUUUGCUUAUGGAAUAGGAGUGCUAUACUGUUUGCUUCAGACAGCAAAAUAUAUUGGUAAUAAGGAUAACCAUUGAAUUUUCUUUUUAAUAUGUCUACUGCUCCUGUGAAUUAUCAAUGUAAUUGGUAUGCCUUUAGCUAUCAUAUAGUAUGCAAUGGGAGGAGAAGGAGGCGAUUUAUCAACACACAAUUGGUUGAUAAAGACUUAAAAUAGUGUAUAAUUACUAAAAUAAUGUAUAAAUAUUAAAAUAAAUAUAGCGUCCCUACUUCACGGAUUUUUACUUAUUGCAGGGGGUCCUGGAACCUAACCCCAGCAACAAGUGAGGGAACACUGUAUUAGUUUAAUAGUCUUUUGUCCAAAGACACAAUUGACCUUCACAAAAUGACUUUUAGGUUAGGUCAGUGAUAGGCAUGUGGCCCCAUACUUCUCUGAUUGUGGCUGCAUGCAGUCACGUGUCAUCAAAAAUGGAUACGCAUGUCAGUGCUGACACACAUGUCAUAGGUUCGCCAUCGUGGGGUUAGGCGAUAAGUAAAAAUAAAGAAACACUGAUAGUUACCACAAAAUAUUUUUGUGUACAUUGAACACUUUCACUGAGUU